AUUGAACGCUGGCGGCAGGCCUAACACAUGCAAGUCGCGCGGAUGAAGCGAGCUUGCUCCUGGAUUCAGCGGCUGACGGGUUUGUAAUGCCUAGGCAUCUGCCUGGUAGUGGGGGAUAACGUCCGGAAACGGGCGCUAAUACCGCCUACGUCCUGCGGGCGAAAGUGGGGGAUCUUCCGACCUCACGCUAUCAGCUGAGCCUAGGUCGGCUUAGCUAGUUGGUGGGGUAACGGCCUACCAAGGCGACGAUCCGUAACUGGUCUGAGUGGAUGAUCAGUCACACUGGAACUGAGACACGGUCCAGACUCCUACGGGAGGCAGCAGUGGGGAAUAUUGGACAAUGGGCGAAAGCCUGAUCCAGCCAUGCCGCGUGAGUGAAGAAGGUCUUCGGAUUGUAAAGCACUUUAAGGUGGGAGGGAGGGCAGGAAGUUAAUACCUGGCUGUUUUGACGUUACCAACAGAAUAAGCACCGGCUAACUUCGUG
rnacentral:rRNA from 1 species